UACGAAGGGGGCUAGCGUUGCUCGGAAUCACUGGGCGUAAAGCGCACGUAGGCGGAUCUUUAAGUCAGGGGUGAAAUCCCGGAGCUCAACUCCGGAACUGCCUUUGAUACUGGAGAUCUUGAGUCCGGGAGAGGUGAGUGGAACUGCGAGUGUAGAGGUGAAAUUCGUAGAUAUUAGGAAGAACACCAGUGGCGAAGGCGGCUCACUGGUCCGGUACUGGACGCUGAGGUGCGAAAGCGUGGGGAGCAAACAGGG
rnacentral:rRNA from 1 species